rnacentral:lncRNA from 1 species
UUUUUUUUUUUUUUUUUUUUUUGCUAAGUACAAAUCCGGGUUCAUAUGUGAAAUGUUUUCCUGAAUUUGAAUACUAUCUUUAAAAUUGAGAUUCAUUCUUUUUAUAAAAGAUAAUUGUCUGAAGACCACAAACCAGGGAGGUCCUGUUGUGGCUCGGUGGCUAACGAACCCAACUAGUAUCCAUGAGGAUGCCGGUUCGAUCCCUGGCCUCGCUCAGUGGGUUGAGGAUCUGGCGUUGCCAUGACCUGUGGUGUAGGUCACAGAUGUGGCUCGGAUCCCAUGUUGCUGUGGCUGUGGUGUAGGCCAGCAGCUGCAGCUCUGAUUUGAUCCCUAGUCUGGGAACUUCCAUAUGUCCUGGGCGCGGCCCUAAAAAAGACAAAAAAGAAAAAUAAAGAUUAUGACUGAUUCUGGUAUAAUUAUUGCUGAACAUCCUUCUGGACUAGAGGGGAUUUUGCUAUGAAUGAUGUGUCCCAGGUGCCAGGUGCGCUGGUGCCCCUGGGGCUGGACCUGUCAUUAAUGGUUGGAAGGGCACACUUGAAAGAAACUAGCAGUACCCAGAGUAAUAGAGGCAGGUGCACUGGAUAUUAAUGGUUAUGAAUAAGAUAUUGAUGUAUUUCACGUAUCUAGUCAAGUACUUUAAAUUGUAUGGACCGUUUCCAGAUCAUAAUUUAAUCACAGCCUCACCAUGUCCAAAAGCCAGCAGUAAAAAAAAGAAAAAAGAAAAAAAGAAAAAGGUGUCUAUAUGGAAUACAAAACUGGCACACGUUUGUGUGCGAGGCUGUUUGGUUCGGUUUUGAAGUUGCUCCCAGAGUUUGCCACUGUCACUCUCAGGCUGGCUGCCUCAGACCACAUAUGCCAGGUGAAGCCCUGCCUCCGCCACAGCGAUCCACGUAUUUCUUUGUAUUUCUUCCAUGUGCUUAUCUCAUGGCCUUGGUCCUUUGGGCUGAACCGUUGUGAACCUUACCGGCUCUCCCCAACAUUUGCUUCUGUCUGAUCACCCCUCGAGGGGUUCCUGCUGGCUCUCUUUUCCAAUCUUUCUUUCCUUUCUUCAAAGAAAGAAAAUUUCUUUCUUGCUCCUUGUACGGUUUCCUUCGCGACUAAUUUUUUAUUAGCGGAGGUACAGUUUCACCAUGUUCUUAUACGAGGAACUCAGCCAUUUCAGUGGGAACAUUCCCAAGGGGCACGAUGCUUUGAUUAAGAAAAUCAAAGGUCAGAGAAACAAAUCUUCCCAAGACUGUCGGUGUGGUUAAGUUCCAAGCAAGAUAACAAUGCAGUGAAUUUUCUAGAAUGUAAACACUUCAAAGGCUUCAGCUAAAAGGAGUGCAGAAGUCCACGCUCAGAAAUGCAUAUAAUUCUUCUAAAUAGUCCUAACAUGACUGUCACAUCGGCGCCAACAGGGACGCAGUGACAGGUGCUUCUCACAUCCGUCGUGGCGGGCUGCCUGCCUCCUCAUUGGCUGGAGGGGUCUGGUGGACGCCAUGCCCAGCGGGACCUUGGGGAAAUUAUCUGAAGUGGAAUGUGCACAGAGAUGCAGAGAGAUGCCUCAUAAACACCCUGACUACCAUAAAACCGUUUGAGAGCCACUGGUGUGUAGACAACUGUGUUUAAAGUGGCCAAUUCUAUAAGCGACAACAUUCGUAUUUUUAAUGAGCCCUGACUUUCCUGCUCAAACACUGUGUACUAAAAACAGACAUAACGCAGAGCCAUUUGUAAUGCUGGGGUGUUUCUAGUUGCUUUCUCUAAAAGCAAGGGGGGGGAGGAGCAAUUGGCAGGCAUGGUGAUGGAUGAGCCGGGCUAAAUAUCUUCCAUUUUCGAACAAGGGGACCUAAAGCAAAUAUUGGGCCAUGCAUAAGUUCUGGAACAGAGUCCAGGUUGAUGAAGCACCUUUCAGGCCUCAGGUAACCCAGAGUGUUUUAGAGCCUAAUCAGUUACGUGCUGGUAGCACAGUCCCUGAAGACAAACAAAGCAUCCAUCACGUGCUCGUUGCAAGCGCUCCCCGCAUUUCUGGUCAUUACGGAGGUUGUUCAUUAUUGAUAGAGAGCCGCCAGCGCACACGCCACGCCGUAGAACGGAUGUAAGGUGUCAAUUGCCCUAAUGCUGAUGAACUGAGGUGGGAAACGGUGGCCCAGAGACCGUCCUCCGACCCCUUGGAGAGGAAGAAUGAACAGGACAAAGCAUGUGCAGAGACCGGGGGAUUCUACGUUUACCCCGCCUCUGUCUGCUUGGUGCCUAGGACGGCGCCUUCAUGGCCUCAUGAAGCUGCCCUCCGGGGCUCAGACCAAG